CAGAUGAAAUAGAUGAGGCGAGCAUGUAUCAUUUCAGUGAGCAUGUACCUCCAGCAAGGGAGCAAGAGUUUGAGCGAAGCUCAUAGGCACAACAGCAAGCUGCAGAAGUGGUGCAAGAAACAUGAUAAGUUGCUCGCCAAGUGCCUCAGAGCUAUCAAGUUUCUGAAGGAUAAGCUAAGCUGCUCCUCUUCCACUACAGCUAUUCCG